rnacentral:rRNA from 1 species
AACGAACGCUGGCGGCGUGCUUAACACAUGCAAGUCGAACGCGAAAUUUUUCUUCGGAAAGAAAGUAGAGUGGCGCACGGGUGAGUAACGCGUAAGUAAUCUACCCUGGCAUCUGGAAUAACUCACCGAAAGGUGUGCUAAUACCGGAUACGUUGAGAGGUCAAGAAAGGUGGCCUCUGCAUAUGCUACUGUGCUGGGAUGAGCUUGCGUACCAUUAGCUAGUUGGUAGGGUAAUGGCCUACCAAGGCGACGAUGGUUAGCGGGUCUGAGAGGAUGAUCUGCCACACUGGAACUGGAACACGGACCAGACUCCUACGGGAGGCAGCAGUGAGGAAUAUUGCGCAAUGGGGGCAACCCUGACGCAGCGACGCCGCGUGGAUGAUGAAGGCCUUCGGGUCGUAAAAUCCUGUCAAGUGGAAAGAAGUGCAUGGUGGCUAAUAUCCAUCAUGUUUGACGGUACCACUGAAGGAAGCACCGGCUAACUCCGUGCCAGCCGCCGCCGUAACAC